rnacentral:rRNA from 1 species
CCUACGGGUGGCUGCAGUCGAGGAUCUUCGGCAAUGGGCGCAAGCCUGACCGAGCGACGCCGCGUGAGCGAUGAAGGCCUUCGGGUUGUAAAGCUCUUUAGUGGGGGAGAUCUAUCCCAAAAAUAAGCACGGGCUAAGUUCGUGCCAGCAGCCGCGGUAAGACGAACCGUGCGAACGUUGUUCGGAAUCACUGGGCUUAAAGGGCGCGUAGGCGGGCUGUCAAGUCUGGGGUGAAAUCCCGCGGCUCAACCGUGGAACUGCCUCAGAUACUGACGGCCUCGAGGGAGGUAGGGGCAUGCGGAACUGUAGGUGGAGCGGUGAAAUGCGUUGAUAUCUACAGGAACUCCGGUGGCGAAAGCGGCGUGCUGGACCUCUCUGACGCUGAGGCGCGAAAGCUAGGGGAGCAAACGGGAUUAGAUACCCUUGUAGUC